GUAGGUGAACCUGCGGAAGGAUCAUUAAUGAAACUUGGUGGACUGUCGCUGGCUCUUCAGGGAGCAUGUGCACGUCUGUCAUCUUUAUCUUUCCACCUGUGCACAUUUUGUAGACCUGGAAGCUAUUCAUAUCUGAGGCGACUCAGUCGUGGGGAUCGUAGGCGUCAAGUCAGCUUUCCUCGAGUAAUCAGGGCUAUGUUUUUUUUUUCACAUACACCAAUGAAAUGUAAUAGAAUGAAUCAAAGGUCUUUGUACCUAUAAAAAGUUAUACAACUUUCAGCAACGGAUCUCUUGGCUCUC
rnacentral:misc_RNA from 1 species